UAACCACGAGGAUUGCCAGAUCCAUCAGGAUGUUGUCCAGAUUGGUGACCACCAGAUGUUCCUGCUUCAUUGUCAUUGCUCCCAGCAGGGAAACCUUCAUCAGCAGGUCCAUGUAUUGUUGCAACAAGAAUCAUAGAAGAACAACAGACUCCAUCAAAGUUUCGAAAAAAAGACAGGGUGCACAAAGCGGUGAAUCAUGUAGCAAACUGUGCUGGAAGAUAUUUUUGUGAACACUGGAGGCAGUUACUAGAUAGGCUAGAUUUUGGGGUACUGCAAUCAAGGAUGUUAAUUUCCAUCCUAUAUACUAUCUAGAGAUUAUCUUCUGAUAUGCAACUCUAUCUUUCCUGGGAUGUUACUACAGAGGGAUAAGUCUGAUGCUUUACUUGUACUGCAAAUGGAAUUGGUUUUCUGUAA